GUGCUCGCUUCGGCAGCUUGUAUACUAGAGUUGGGAUGAUACAGAGAAGAUUAGCAUUGCCCCUGUGCAAGGAUGACACGCAAAUUCGUGAAGCGUUCUAUAUUUUU
rfam:Erinaceus europaeus isolate Erinaceus europaeus_13Jul2011 contig224086, whole genome shotgun sequence